CUGUCGCCCAAAUGUCACAGCCAGCACACGAGGACCUGAAAGAGGAGUAAAAGGAGGGCAAAACCUCUAAAGCAUGUUCCUGAGCAUACCUCUCACAGGAGUUGCAUUUCUCUGGGCGCUGAGUAUCUGCCAUCAGCGGUGUCUGUCGCUGCUCAGGCGACCUCCCACCAGGCUGGCGCGCGCGCACGCGCACACACACACACACACACACACACGCACACACAUGCGCGCGCACGCACACACGCCACCCAGCAUCCAGCCGCUCCUCCCCUUCCUUGUAAUGGGAAGAACAACUGAGAAUUGUACUUUUGUCUCUGAGAUAGCUGGAGAGAAUGUUAUAAAAUGUCGUCGUGUUUAUCCUGCACAAGGGCUGGCACUGGAACCACGACACUCAGACAACUCCCGCCAGAGCUAAAGUGCGAGUCUUGCCACGCAGCAUCCUGCCCGGGGGCGGUAGGGACAAUAACCAACUCAUGACGCAUCCUCGCAUCGUCCCCACUGGUUCCCCGAGUGGUGCUGUGGCCACACCAGCGCCCUGAACUGGCUUGGGAAGAGCUUUUCAACCUGUGACGAAGCUUCCAGAGCAGGGUGCUGAGAAUGGCGAGCAAGCGGCCUUCUCAUGCAGGGGAACUAAACAGAGGAGUCCAGCAGCAGCCUGGAGUGGGCCGGGCCGCAGGGCCCUCCUGGAGUCUGCUCACCAGCGAGGACCUUGCCCAGGAAAGAGAUGAUGUUCCCCGUAGACGCUUAGUGACAAUACACACUCCCCUCACUUGGAACACAUUCAUCACAUUGUUCUUCCCACUUCCUGAAGAGUUCUGGAGUCCUCCUCCCUCACGUCCCCAUGUGGUGUGGUCCAAAUACUGUGACUGCUGCUACUGCAUGCCACCCCGUGGAAAUGCAGGCUCCAAACACAGCACUGUGUGUCCUCAUUUACAUUCUGUACCAGACUUGGCACUGUGUGACUUCUAGCUCUGCUCCAAAGUCAAAAUGACCCUAAAAGAUCAAUGCUUUGAAUCAACUGGGGAUGUCAAGGCAGGGCAACCGAAGAUAUUCACGAAAGGACUGAUGGGAAUGUAAAAUGUGACUGUCCAUCAGGAGAAAUGUGGGAGAUUCUGGCAGAAUUCUUUCAGGUACACUGAUGUUCAAGGUCAUACACUGCAGCUUUGUUUGAAAUAACAAAAUACUAGGCAAGUCCUUACCAUUCAUAACAAGGGGCAACAGGGCCGGGGAUUUAGCUCAGUGAUUUCACCACCUGCUGCGCAAGCGCAAGGACCCAAGUUCGAACCCCAGUACCAAAAAAUAAAUAAAUAAAUAAGG
rnacentral:lncRNA from 1 species